rnacentral:rRNA from 1 species
ACGCUCGACACCUACGGGAUGCAGCAGUGGGGAAUAUUGGGCAAUGGGCGCAAGCCUGACCCAGCAACGCCGCGUGAAGGAAGAAGGCUUUCGGGUUGUAAACUUCUUUUCUCAGGGACGAAGGAAGUGACGGUACCUGAGGAACAAGCCACGGCUAACUACGUGCAGCAGCCGCGGUAAUCUGAGCGGGCUGGCAAGGC